UACGUAGGGGGCUAGCGUUGUCCGGAAUCAUUGGGCGUAAAGAGCGUGUAGGCGGCCCGGUAAGUCCGCUGUGAAAGUCGGGGGCUCAACCCUCGAAUGCCGGUGGAUACUGUCGGGCUAGAGUGCGGAAGAGGCGAGUGGAAUUCCUGGUGUAGCGGUGAAAUGCGCAGAUAUCAGGAGGAACGCCAAUUGCGAAGGCAGCUCGCUGGGACGUAACUGACGCUGAGACGCGAAAGCGUGGGGAGCAAACGGG
rnacentral:rRNA from 1 species